UACGGGGGGAGCAAGCGUUGUUCGGAUUUACUGGGCGUAAAGGGCGCGUAGGCGGCGUGACAAGUCACUUGUGAAAUCUCCGAGCUUAACUCGGAACGGUCAACUGAUACUGUUUUGCUAGAGUACAGAAGGGGCAACCGGAAUUCUUGGUGUAGCGGUGAAAUGCGUAGAUAUCAAGAGGAACACCUGAGGUGAAGACGGGUUGCUGGGCUGAUACUGACGCUGAGGCACGAAAGCUAGGGUAGCAAACGGG
rnacentral:rRNA from 1 species